rnacentral:ribozyme from 1 species
AAAGAAAGAAAGAAAGAAAGAAAGAAAGAAAGAAAGAAAGAAAGAGCGACAACGAGCCACUUUCGGAUGCUGUUCCAC